UUUUUGGCUACAAACUCUCCCGCACUUAUUCUCCAUUUUAUCUCUUUCUACUUCACUUUUUCCCCUUUCUGCCUCACUGGUCUCUAGAUGAGGUGUUGUCAGUAGGAGUUAAGCUUUGAAUGUUUGAUCUCCCACUCUGCCCGCGCAAUUGAAUCGCCUCGGACGGAGCGCCUAAAAAAUACUAGUUCCAAACCAAUUCAGCCAAAAUCUUCCACAGUGGACCUGUUGUGUGUUUAUUUUUUCUCCACAGUUUGAAUCAGGACUGUGAACUGCUGUCCAGGAAGCUCUUGUGUUUUCAGGCCUAAGUGGUUGACUGCGAAUGUUUUCUCGGCUGUGGAAAAUUUUUUCCUCCUUGAUAAGGCCAAGGGCAACCAAACUUAAUUAUUAGAAGCCUGCUUUAACUCAUCUAAGUUCCAGCCAGAUGGAAAACGGAAUUGUUUCUAGAGACAGUGCUGAAAUGGCAUCAUUUUGAGGGUCUGCGAAAGAGUCAGACGCGACUGAGCACGCGCGACUAUAACACUGUUCUGUCUUCAGGCUAGUGGUCCCUGAAUAUCAUUCCCAAUCUUGCCGUUACUGCUUUUCUCUCUGAAAAAGUAUUGAUAACAGAAUGAAGAGUGGGUGCUGGGGCGGGGGUGUGGGUGAG
rnacentral:lncRNA from 1 species